rnacentral:rRNA from 1 species
AGUGAACGCUGGCGGUAGGCCUAACACAUGCAAGUCGAACGGCAGCACAGUAAGAGCUUGCUCUUACGGGUGGCGAGUGGCGGACGAGUGAGGAAUACAUCGGAAUCUACUUUUUCGUGGGGGAUAACGUAGGGAAACUUACGCUAGUACCGCAUACGACCUACGGGUGAAAGCAGGGGAUCUUCGGACCUUGCGCGAUUGAAUGAGCCGAUGUCGGAUUAGCUAGUUGGCGGGGUAAAGGCCCACCAAGGCGACGAUCCGUAGCUGGUCUGAGAGGAUGAUCAGCCACACUGGAACUGAGACACGGUCCAGACUCCUACGGGAGGCAGCAGUGGGGAAUAUUGGACAAUGGGCGCAAGCCUGAUCCGGCCAUACCGCGUGGGUGAAGAAGGCCUUCGGGUUGUAAAGCCCUUUUGUUGGGAAAGAAAAGCAGCAGGUUAAUACCCCGCUGUUCUGACGGUACCCAAAGAAUAAGCACCGGCUAACUUCGUG